GUGAUGGAACCUAUUAUCCCAGUUGGAGCUCCACCUGGCAAUGAGGUGAUUCAGCACCAAACUCAAAUUGUCUCACAGGCCCAGGUCCCCAUGGCCGUUCAGACUACACACAUCCCUGUCCAGACAUUAGCUGUUGUCCCAGCUCAAGUCCUUACACAGCAAGAACAAAGUGAGGCUCGUCCUCAGAACCAGGUCCCAGUCCAACUUAUAGCCCAGUCCGCAGUCCAAGCAGCUCAGGCUAUGAUUGAGGCCCAAGGAACUCCUCCUGCGGCAGUGAUCCAGGGACAGACUCACAUCAUCCAGACCCAGCAAAUUCCUUUACAGACUAGUUACCCAGGACCUGCCACUCUCACACAGAGCCAGGUAACUGCUCAGCCAUUGAUCCAGACUCAGCCUCUGCACCUGACAAUUGGUCAGUCCCAGGCACCACAUGGUCAAGGCCCAACUGUGGACAUUCAGAUGAUGGGCCAACAAAGCCUAGCUACUGUCCAGCCUCCAGCUGCAAUUACCUCAAUUCCAAGUCAGAUCCAACAUGAGAGUCUUGUUCAGCAAAAUGCACAAAUGCCAGGGCUCAUGCAGCCCCAGCUCCAGCAACAUACUCAAGGCCAGCCACCUAGUCACAUGCAUGCUCAGGCUACUGCUGGCCUUUUUCCCCCUCAGUAUGUCCCUCAGCCUACCCACCAAGCCAUGUCAUCUGUACAACAGGAUAUAACUCAUAUUACACAACAGCAACAAGAGCCAGUACUGCAAUAUCAGCAGAGUAUUCUGUCUCCUAGCUCCGCUGGAAAUGUUGGAACUACAACAGAAAGUCUCAGUUCUGCAGUUGACCCUGCAAACUUUGUUGCCACUCCUCAUCCUGUGCAGCAGACUGGGCAAGCCUAUGGUCCAGGCCAAACAACACUACAGCCAGUUGUUCAGGCCCAGCAGCAGCCCCUAGGAGGCACUGCUGACCCUUCAGUUAUUCAGUCUAUCUCCCAGCCUCCUUUGCCUCAGUCUGCAGUGCAAUACCAGCUACAGCUUUCUCAAGCGCAGCAACCACUUGCUCCACCUUCUCCGCAGGCCCAGUUAUUGGCACAGCCCAUCCCAACUCCCAUCCAGCAACCACUUCCUAUAAAGCAGGCUUUGAUAGCCCUCAACGAGAGUCAGCUGCCCUCACAGUGCCCACCUGCUUCACAUCUGGCGACCCAUCCUUCUGCACAGAUAGGCCCCAGUAAUGUUGCAGAGCCU
rnacentral:lncRNA from 1 species